rnacentral:rRNA from 1 species
GUUGAACGCUGGCGGCGUGCCUAACACAUGCAAGUCGAACGAACGGACGAGAAGCUGGCCCUGGUGAUGUUAGCGGCGGACGGGUGAGAAACAUGUGAACAAGCUAUGUAGAAGACGGGGACAAGGUCGAGAAACCGUUACUAAUGCCUGCGAAUAAUGUAUACAACCGGGGGCACAAGUGAAAUACGGUCAUGCGGUUGCCUGUUGAUGGAUCCGCUCUUCAUUAGCUAGUUGGUAAGGUAACGGCCUACCAAGGCGACGAUGAGUAGCGGACCUGAGAGGGUGAUCGGCCACACUGGAACUGAGACACGGUCCAGACUCCUACGGGAGGCAGCAGUAGGGAAUCUUCGGCAAUGGGCGAAAGCCUGACGCAGCAACGCCGCGUGAGUGAUGAAGGUCUUCGGAUCGUAAAGCUCUGUUAUUAGGGAAGAACAUCUUGGUACGUAAAUAGGCACAGCUUGACGGUACCUGAUGAGAAAGCCCCGGCUAACUACGUG